AUUGAACGCUGGCGGCAGGCCUAACACAUGCAAGUCGAGCGGAGCGGCAGACGGGUGAGUGUUGCUAACGAGUCUGCAUGCUAGCGUGGGAUAACGUCCGGCAACGGGCGCUAAUAUCGCAUACUCUCCGAUUAGUCUAGGUCGGAUUCGCUAGUUGGUGGGGUAAAGGCCUACCAAGGCGACGAUCCGUACCUGGGCUGAGAGGAUGAUCAGUCACACUGGAACUGAGACACGGUCCAGACUCCAACGGGAGGAAGCAGUGGGGAAGAUUGGACAAUGGGCGAAAGCCUGAUGCAGCCAUGCCGCGUGUGUGAAGAAGGUCUUCGGAUUUUAAAGCACUUUAAGUUGGGAGGCGUUACCAACAGAAUAAGCACCGGCUAACUACGUGCCAGCCGCCGCGGUAAUAC
rnacentral:rRNA from 1 species